AACGAACGCUGGCGGCAUGCCUAACACAUGCAAGUCGAACGAGACCUUCGGGUCUAGUGGCGCACGGGUGCGUAACGCGUGGGAACCUGCCCUUAGGUUCGGAAUAACUCCCCGAAAGGGGUGCUAAUACCGGAUAAUGUCUUCGGACCAAAGAUUUAUCGCCUUUGGUUGGGCCCGCGUUGGAUUAGCUAGUUGGUAGGGUAAAAGCCUACCAAGGCGACGAUCCAUAGCUGGUCUGAGAGGAUGAUCAGCCACACUGGGACUGAGACACGGCCCAGACUCCUACGGGAGGCAGCAGUGGGGAAUAGUGGACAAUGGGCGAAAGCCUGAUCCAGCAAGGCCGCGUGAGUGAUGAAGGCCUUAGGGUUGUAAAGCUCUUUUACCCGGGAUGAUAAUGACAGUACCGGGAGAAUAAGCUCCGGCUAACUCCGUG
rnacentral:rRNA from 1 species